UACGUAGGGUGCAAGCGUUAAUCGGAAUUACUGGGCGUAAAGCGUGCGCAGGCGGUUAUAUAAGACAGAUGUGAAAUCCCCGGGCUCAACCUGGGAACUGCAUUUGUGACUGUAUAGCUAGAGUACGGCAGAGGGGGAUGGAGUUCCGCGUGUAGCAGUGAAAUGCGUAGAUAUGCGGAGGAACACCGAUGGCGAGGGCAAUCCCCUGGGCCUGUACUGACGCUCAUGCACGAAAGCGUGGGGAGCAAACAGG
rnacentral:rRNA from 1 species